rnacentral:rRNA from 1 species
GACGAACGCUGGCGGCGUGCUUAACACAUGCAAGUCGAACGAAGUGGCGAACGGGUGAGUAACGCGUAAUCAACCUGCCCUUCAGAGGGGGACAACAGUUGGAAACGACUGCUAAUACCGCAUACUGAAGGAGGGGUUUGCGUGUGAUUGGCUAGUUGGGGGGGUAACGGCCCACCAAGGCGAUGAUCAGUAGCCAGGCUGAGAGGAAGAACGGCCAAAUUGGGACUGAGAAACGGCCCAGGCUCCUAAGGGAGGCAGCAGUGGGGAAUCAUCGGCAAUGGAGGAAAGGCUGACGGAGCAACGCCGCGGGAGAGAUGACGGCCUUCGGGUUGUAAAGCUCUGUUAAUCGGGACGCGGUACCGGAAGAGAAAGCAACGGCUAACUACGUGCCAGCAGCCGCGGUAAUUC